rnacentral:rRNA from 1 species
CGGGGGGUGCAAGCGUUGUUCGGAUUUAUUGGGCGUAAAGCGCGUGUAGGCGGUUUGUUAAGUCUGAUGUGAAAGCCCUGGGCUCAACCCAGGAAGUGCAUUGGAUACUGGCAGACUUGAAUACGGGAGAGGGUAGUGGAAUUCCUGGUGUAGGAGUGAAAUCCGUAGAUAUCAGGAGGAACACCGGUGGCGAAGGCGGCUACCUGGACCGAUAUUGACGCUGAGACGCGAAAGCGUGGGUAGCAAACAGGAUUAGAUACCCUGGUAGUCCACGCCGUAAACGAUGAGUACUAGGUGUUGCGGGUAUUGACCCCUGCAGUGCCGCAGCUAACGCAUUAAGUACUCCGCCUGGGAAGUACGGUCGCAAGACUA